CCUACGGGAGGCCGCAGUGAGGAAUAUUUGUCAUUGGGAGAGAUCCUGAACCAGCCAAGCCGCGUGAGGGAAGACGGCCCUAUGUGUUGUAAACCUCUUUUGCCGGAGAACAAAACCCGGGACGUGUCCCGGACUGCGUGUAUCCGAAGAAAAAGCAUCGACAAACUCCGUGCCAGCAGCCGGGGUAAUACGGAGGAUGCGAGCGUUAUCCGGAUUUAUUGGGUUAAAGGGGUGCGUAGGCGGUCCGUUAAGUCAUCGGUAAAAUUGCGGGGCUCAACCCCGCCGGGCCGUUGAAACUGGCAGACUUGAGUUGGCGAGAAGUACGCGGAAUGCGCGGUGUAGCGGUGAAAUGCAUAGAUAUCGCGCAGAACUCCGAUUGCGAAGGCAGCGUACCGGCGCCAGACUGACGCUGAGGCACGAAAGCGUGGGGAUCGAACAGGAUUAGAUACCCGUGUAGUC
rnacentral:rRNA from 1 species